rnacentral:other from 1 species
AUAAAGCUGCGAUGUUCGUAAUUUACUUAAGUUUAACCUCUAAACAAGAAUUAGGGAGUUUUAAUCGAGAGCCAAAUGUCAUGCCUCGUUUGUGUGGAAGACAGGAAGUUCUCUGCGGACACCCACUUAGUAAAGUGGUGGUUAAAACUUUUUAAUUUAUUACGACAUUGUGGCUCUUUC